rnacentral:lncRNA from 1 species
ACUCCCUCAUUUGUGUAAUCCACCAUUGUUUGUCCAUCUAAUUUUGGAAACAAUCAACUUAACGAAAGAUCUCAUCUAACACUUUAACAAACAAAUUUUACAAAACCACUUUCUUACCGAAAGAUCUCAUCUAACACUUUAACAAACAAAUUUUACAAAACCACUUUUAUAUUUAUAAUAGGUUUAGCGUUAUUCAUAAAAUCCUGUAUGGUUUUAGAACUUUGAUUUAUUUACAAAAGAGCAAACUUCCGUUUUACUCCCUGAUGUUUCGGUUUUUUUUCCAGUUUGCUCCCCGCCUCUAACUCCAUCCAAAUUGUUUGUUUUUCCAUUUUGCUCCCUGCAGGGAGCAAACUGGCAACAAAACCAAAACAUCAGUGAGUAAAAUGGCUAUUUUUAAAGGUUUGAGGCAAAACCGUUAAAGUGACCAAACCACAGGAAGCAAAACGGAAGUUUACUCUUUACAAAAUAUAUAUUCAUGAUUUUAAGUGAACCAUUUAAUUUUCAUGUGGUCAAUGGUUCCAAUUAUAUAUUAUGUAGUAUUCCUUAAGUCAUGUUCAUUCUAAACGUGUUUUUAAUUUGAUGUUUUGCUUAUUAUUUAAUCUCCAUCUUGGUUCACAACAAACCUUUUACUUUCUUUCGAAGUCUUAGAUUAAAAAAAAGGUACAAGUUUUAAACUUUCACCAAAUUUGCAUUUUUAGAAAUAAAUGUACUCUAAAAUCCAUUUUUACCAGAAAAUUUUGCCCUCAUAUAUAGAAAUAAAAUAACUUUAUUAUAUAAACUGUCACACCAUUAAAAUAAUAAAAACAAAAAGGUGGGGUAUCAAUUUACCUCUCACCAUUUUUCCACUAAAGCAUAUUACAUAGAUGAAUUUUGAAUUUCUAGCCUUAGGUAAC